UGCCAGCCGCCGCGGUAAUACGGAGGGUGCGAGCGUUAAUCGGAAUUACUGGGCGUAAAGCGUGCGCAGGCGGCUUUUUAAGACAGGUGUGAAAUCCCCGGGCUUAACCUGGGAAUGGCGCUUGUGACUGGAAGGCUAGAGUAUGGUAGAGGGAAGUGGAAUUUCCGGUGUAGCGGUGAAAUGCGUAGAUAUCGGAAGGAACACCAGUGGCGAAGGCGACUUCCUGGGCCAAUACUGACGCUCAUGUGCGAAAGUGUGGGUAGCGAACGGGAUUAGAUA
rnacentral:rRNA from 1 species